CAGUCAUUACGUGUGGAUAACACAUUUCAGCUGGAUCCCUCAUGGCAAUGCCUCUCUCUGUCGACUGCAGGUGAAGGAAAAGCCUUACCCACCUGCCCCAGUAAGGAAAGCAACACUGGAUUGAUACCUUCUGUGAAGUUCAGCAUUCCUCAGUGAAGAAUACCAAGUCUUUCAUUCUAGUGACAAGGAAAAUCUAGCAAUAGAAGGGAGAACUUCCACUCUAACAAUGUAAUAUCUAUGGAACUGAAAAACCUUUCAUUCCUAUUAAAAGAGGAUUGGAUGGCUCUGGAGUGAAAGCACCUGUGUAGGACCCCUGGCAGCUGAAGGGAAGACUGACCAUAAGAAAGAAUAUAUUUCUCAGUGGAGAAGAAGGACUAUCACUGUGUGAAUCCUCAGUCCUUGACUACCACCUCCUCAAAAAAGCAACUUAAUAGAAGUGAAAGACUAACUAGUUUACAGUCUUCAGGGUUAUCUAAAGAUAUUUUUCUCAUCUGUGAACUUCUACGUUUAGUUGCAACUGGAUUGACUGUUCUGGAUAUAUAAAUAAAGGCUUGCAUUCAUCCUUA